GGGUUGUGAGGUUAAGCGACUAAGCGUACACGGUGGAUGCCCUGGCAGUCAGAGGCGAUGAAGGGCGUGCUAAUCUGCGAUAAGCGCCGGUAAGGUGAUAUGAACCGUUAUAACCGGCGAUACCCGAAUGGGGAAACCCAGUGUGACUCGUCACACUAUCAUUAACUGAAUCCAUAGGUUAAUGAGGCGAACCGGGGGAACUGAAACAUCUAAGUACCCCGAGGAAAAGAAAUCAACCGAGAUUCCCCCAGUAGCGGCGAGCGAACGGGGAGGAGCCCAGAGCCUGAAUCAGCAUGUGUGUUAGUGGAAGCGUCUGGAAAGGCGCGCGAUACAGGGUGACAGCCCCGUACACAAAAGCGCAUGUGCUGUGAGCUCGAUGAGUAGGGCGGGACACGUGGUAUCCUGUCUGAAUAUGGGGGGACCAUCCUCCAAGGCUAAAUACUCCUGACUGACCGAUAGUGAACCAGUACCGUGAGGGAAAGGCGAAAAGAACCCCGGCGAGGGGAGUGAAAAAGAACCUGAAACCGUGUACGUACAAGCAGUGGGAGCACAGGUUUACCUGUGUGACUGCGUACCUUUUGUAUAAUGGGUCAGCGACUUAUAUUCUGUAGCAAGGUUAACCGAAUAGGGGAGCCGGAGGGAAACCGAGUCUUAAUUGGGCGUUAAGUUGCAGGGUAUAGACCCGAAACCCGGUGAUCUAGCCAUGGGCAGGUUGAAGGUUGGGUAACACUAACUGGAGGACCGAACCGACUAAUGUUGAAAAAUUAGCGGAUGACCUGUGGCUGGGGGUGAAAGGCCAAUCAAACCGGGAGAUAGCUGGUUCUCCCCGAAAGCUAUUUAGGUAGCGCCUCGUGAAUUCAUCUCCGGGGGUAGAGCACUGUUUCGGCUAGGGGGCCAUCCCGGCUUACCAACCCGAUGCAAACUGCGAAUACCGGAGAAUGUUAUCACGGGAGACACACGGCGGGUGCUAACGUCCGUCGUGAAGAGGGAAACAACCCAGACCGCCAGCUAAGGUCCCAAAGUCAUGGUUAAGUGGGAAACGAUGUGGGAAGGCCCAGACAGCCAGGAUGUUGGCUUAGAAGCAGCCAUCAUUUAAAGAAAGCGUAAUAGCUCACUGGUCGAGUCGGCCUGCGCGGAAGAUGUAACGGGGCUAAACCAUGCACCGAAGCUGCGGCAGCGACACUGUGUGUUGUUGGGUAGGGGAGCGUUCUGUAAGCCUGUGAAGGUGGUCUGUGAGGCAUGCUGGAGGUAUCAGAAGUGCGAAUGCUGACAUAAGUAACGAUAAAGCGGGUGAAAAGCCCGCUCGCCGGAAGACCAAGGGUUCCUGUCCAACGUUAAUCGGGGCAGGGUGAGUCGACCCCUAAGGCGAGGCCGAAAGGCGUAGUCGAUGGGAAACAGGUUAAUAUUCCUGUACUUGGUGUUACUGCGAAGGGGGGACGGAGAAGGCUAUGUUGGCCGGGCGACGGUUGUCCCGGUUUAAGCGUGUAGGUGUGUGUUCCAGGUAAAUCCGGUUCACUUUAACACUGAGGCGUGAUGACGAGGCACUACGGUGCUGAAGCAACAAAUGCCCUGCUUCCAGGAAAAGCCUCUAAGCAUCAGGUAACAUCAAAUCGUACCCCAAACCGACACAGGUGGUCAGGUAGAGAAUACCAAGGCGCUUGAGAGAACUCGGGUGAAGGAACUAGGCAAAAUGGUGCCGUAACUUCGGGAGAAGGCACGCUGACACGUAGGUGAAGUGAUUUACUCAUGGAGCUGAAGUCAGUCGAAGAUACCAGCUGGCUGCAACUGUUUAUUAAAAACACAGCACUGUGCAAACACGAAAGUGGACGUAUACGGUGUGACGCCUGCCCGGUGCCGGAAGGUUAAUUGAUGGGGUCAGCGCAAGCGAAGCUCCUGAUCGAAGCCCCGGUAAACGGCGGCCGUAACUAUAACGGUCCUAAGGUAGCGAAAUUCCUUGUCGGGUAAGUUCCGACCUGCACGAAUGGCGUAAUGAUGGCCAGGCUGUCUCCACCCGAGACUCAGUGAAAUUGAACUCGCUGUGAAGAUGCAGUGUACCCGCGGCAAGACGGAAAGACCCCGUGAACCUUUACUAUAGCUUGACACUGAACAUUGAGCCUUGAUGUGUAGGAUAGGUGGGAGGCUUUGAAGCGUGGACGCCAGUCUGCGUGGAGCCGACCUUGAAAUACCACCCUUUAAUGUUUGAUGUUCUAACGUGGACCCGUAAUCCGGGUUGCGGACAGUGUCUGGUGGGUAGUUUGACUGGGGCGGUCUCCUCCUAAAGAGUAACGGAGGAGCACGAAGGUUGGCUAAUCCUGGUCGGACAUCAGGAGGUUAGUGCAAUGGCAUAAGCCAGCUUGACUGCGAGCGUGACGGCGCGAGCAGGUGCGAAAGCAGGUCAUAGUGAUCCGGUGGUUCUGAAUGGAAGGGCCAUCGCUCAACGGAUAAAAGGUACUCCGGGGAUAACAGGCUGAUACCGCCCAAGAGUUCAUAUCGACGGCGGUGUUUGGCACCUCGAUGUCGGCUCAUCACAUCCUGGGGCUGAAGUAGGUCCCAAGGGUAUGGCUGUUCGCCAUUUAAAGUGGUACGCGAGCUGGGUUUAGAACGUCGUGAGACAGUUCGGUCCCUAUCUGCCGUGGGCGCUGGAGAACUGAGGGGGGCUGCUCCUAGUACGAGAGGACCGGAGUGGACGCAUCACUGGUGUUCGGGUUGUCAUGCCAAUGGCACUGCCCGGUAGCUAAAUGCGGAAGAGAUAAGUGCUGAAAGCAUCUAAGCACGAAACUUGCCCCGAGAUGAGUUCUCCCUGAGACUUAGAGUCUCCUGAAGGAACGUUGAAGACGACGACGUUGAUAGGCCGGGUGUGUAAGCGCAGCGAUGCGUUGAGCUAACCGGUACUAAUGAACCGUGAGGCUUAACCUUACAACGCCGAAG
rnacentral:rRNA from 1 species